GAUUUCUGACGGACCGACGUGGCCCGUUCCCGUCUCGGGGAUGAGUGCCGUGCCGAGUCUGUCAUCCUUCCAGAGAGCUGCGCCUACCGUUUAUUCGGCCGGGCGUAUGUGAUCUGGAUCUAUUACUUUGAAAAAAUUAGAGUGUUUAAAGCAGGCUUACGCUAUGAAUACAUUAGCAUGGAAUAAUAAUAUAGGACUUUGGUUCUAUUUUGUUGGUUUCUAGGACUGAAGUAAUGAUUGAUAGGGAUAGUUGGGGGUGCUAGUAUUCAGUGGCCAGAGGUGAAAUUCUUGGAUUCACUGAAGACUAACUACUGCGAAAGCAUU
rnacentral:rRNA from 1 species